rnacentral:rRNA from 1 species
GACGAACCGUGCGAACGUUAUUCGGAAUCACUGGGCUUAAAGCGCGUGUAGGCGGGGCGGAACGUCGGAUGCUGAAAGCCCCCGCUCAACCGGGGAAGUGGCACCGAUACGACCGCCCUCGAGGGACGUAGGGGGGACCUGGAACUUCCGGUGGAGCGGUGAAAUGCGUUGAGAUCGGAAGGAACGCCCGUGGCGAAAGCGAGGUCCUGGACGUUUUUUCUGACGCUGAGACGCGAAAAGCCAGGGGGAGCGAACGGG